AAUUGAGGAAUGCCCACAACAAACCCCACACUCGAAUGAUUGUGCAAUUGCCGUCUGCAAUGUUAUCAACCAAUAUCUCAACUGGCAACCUGUGCAGAAAAAACUUCGUCCAACUGAGUGGGUCAAAUUUCGAGCACAAAUCAUCAAUCAAUUCCUCAAUGAUGAGAACCGAUCUUGGAAACUCGAGCACUACCAAAUGUUGACAAAACAUACCAAACCAUAGAAACAAUGAACAAACUUCUUAACAAUACAAAUAUUCAAGGGAACAUAUCUUUGAAC